AAACAAUCCAUCAUCCAAACAGAUAAUCGUUGACAGUGAACUCUGGGAGUCAUGACCAUUGAGUGACUGGAGGCGGUCCUGUCCUGCAAGAGGCUCACACAGCCUUCCAGCCAUGACUUCUUCCCUAAGGGUUGCUUUCUGGCUGAUCUGCUUGGGGCACCUGGGCAUCCUACCAAUGAGAUCAAAGUUCCUGCUGCCCUGAGAAGUUAGUUUUGCUGAUGCUUCCUCUGAUCCCUCAACCAGCCUGGACUCCACCCAGAUCUCUAAGAGGUGCCACCUCCUUUCAAGUUCCUUUGUUGUUUCCCAGAAGCUGUGCCCUUUCAUUACUUUUCCCAAAUAUUUCCUGCCUACCUCUCCACUUCCACACCGGCUCCACUGCUGGUGCUACUGAUUUCAGGUAUGUAUUUUCCCACUCAAAUGAAAUAGGAGUUUGCAGUC